rnacentral:lncRNA from 1 species
GUCUUAUCGAGAAUAAAAAAGGCACACUGUUCAUUGUAUCUAGUUAACACAAAUCUCAUACCGUACAUGCAUUCAAAAUUUAUGACGACACACUCGACCUCGGAUGAGUCGAACCUCGGAUGAGUCGAAUACUUUGGUCCAGUCCCUUCGACUUCGACACAACAAGGUUCGACUAUAUUGUUAUUUUGUGAAAAAUAAUGAAAGAAAAACAAAUAUGUAACACAGCAACAAACGACAAUCACUGAAUUACAGGC